AAGCAAUACAUUAUCCUCGAUGAACCAAUUAGAACAGGGGAAAAUCUAAAGUCCGGAGCAACUGCUCUUCUUAGUAGAAUAUUGGAAAAUGGCCGUCGUCGCUUAAUUCGGGAUGAGUUAUAAAAGUUGGAUGGAGUAGUUAUGGAGUGACCAACAUGCAGUUCUAAAGAAUUGCGGAUAUACAUACAGUGCUUAUUUUAUGUUAGAUUUGAAUAUAGAUCAAAAUUUUGUCCAAUUUUUUUUUUACUUUAUAAAUAAAAUAUAAUUGUAAC
rnacentral:misc_RNA from 1 species